GAGUUUGAUCGUGGCUCAGGACGAACGCUGGCGGUGUGCUUAAUACAUGCAAGUCGAACGAGACUUUCGGGUCUAGUGGCGGACGGCUGAGUAACGCGUAGGUAACGUACCUUUUACUGGGGGAUAACAUCGGGAAACCGGUGCUAAUACCGCAUAAGUCUUCAGUUGAAAUACUGACGAUUAAAGAUUUAUUGGUAGAAGAUCGGCCUGCGUCUGAUUAGCUUGUUGGUAGGGUAAUGGCUUACCAAGGCGAUGAUCAGUAGUUGGUCUGAGAGGAUGACCAGCCAGAGUGGGACUGAGAACGGCCCCACACUUCUACGGAAGGCAGCAGUAGGGAAUUUUGCGCAAUGGGCGAAAGCCUGACGCAGCAACACCGCGUGCGGGAUGAAGGGCCUUGGUUGUAAACCGCUGUCGACAGGGAAUAAAUUGACUGUACCUGUAAAGGAAGCACCGGCUAACUACGUGCCAGCAGCCGCCGUAAC
rnacentral:rRNA from 1 species